rnacentral:rRNA from 1 species
CCACGUAGGGGCCGAACGUUGUCCGGAUUUAUUGGGCGUAAAGGGCUCGUAGGCGGUUUGACAAGUCGGUCGUGAAAGCCCGGGGCUCAACCCCGGGACGCCGAUCGAAACUGUCAUGACUAGGGUCCGGUAGAGGUGAGUGGAAUUCUCGGUGUAGCGGUGAAAUGCGCAGAUAUCGAGAGGAACACCAGUAGCGAAGGCGGCUCACUGGGCCGGUACCGACGCUGAGGAGCGAAAGCGUGGGGAGCAAACAGGAUUAGAAACCCCAGUAGUCC